UUCCCAGGACACUAUGCCAGGAAUAACACUUCUCUGGCCGAUAUUGAGUAACCACUGGUGGAGAGAACACACCGUUUGUGAUACAUUGUGGCAGGCGGAUGCCACAGGCCACACAAAUACAAACCCCAGUGGAUGUGCUCUUGAUGACUGAGGUACUCUGGUGUUGUAGAUCAUACUCUGUAUAGUCCUGAACAGUUGGAGGCAAACAGGUUCCACUGUGGUAUCUGCAGUGGGCAUUUCAUCAGAAUGGCUCAAGAUGAAAAUGUAAACUCUGCUGGCUGAAUUCUGGCAGAAGGCCUUUGGAUGAAGCAAGAUGUCUUGGUACACAUCAUCAUCCCAGGACUUGGGUG
rnacentral:lncRNA from 1 species